rnacentral:ncRNA from 1 species
AUACAUGCAAUGAAGGGAAAUAGUAGAUAUAUAAAUAUCUUAAGAGAGCCAAUGGUUGGUGAGAAUUGGUGAUGUUUUGUAUUGAAUCCGUCCCAGAGCUUUUACUUAAAAGGUAAACCUUGCAGAGGGUUAAUCUGCAUAAAGUGAACCAUUUAUGGUUAACUAGGGUGGCAACGCGGGUAAUAUCUCGUCCCUAAU